AUUGAACGCUGGCGGCAGGUCUAACACAUGCAAGUCGAACGGUAACAGAAAGCAGCUUGCUGCUUUGCUGACGAGUGGCGGACGGGUGAGUAAUGUCUGGGAAACUGCCUGAUGGAGGGGGAUAACUACUGGAAACGGUAGCUAAUACCGCAUAACGUCGCAAGACCAAAGAGGGGGACCUUCGGGCCUCUUGCCAUCGGAUGUGCCCAGAUGGGAUUAGCUUGUUGGUGGGGUAACGGCUCACCAAGGCGACGAUCCCUAGCUGGUCUGAGAGGAUGACCAGCCACACUGGAACUGAGACACGGUCCAGACUCCUACGGGAGGCAGCAGUGGGGAAUAUUGCACAAUGGGCGCAAGCCUGAUGCAGCCAUGCCGCGUGUAUGAAGAAGGCCUUCGGGUUGUAAAGUACUUUCAGCGGGGAGGAAGGGAGUAAAGUUAAUACCUUUGCUCAUUGACGUUACCCGCAGAAGAAGCACCGGCUAACUCCGUG
rnacentral:rRNA from 1 species